rnacentral:rRNA from 1 species
AAAUUGAAGAGUUUGAUCAUGGCUCAGAUUGAACGCUGGCGGCAGGCCUAACACAUGCAAGUCGAACGGUAACAGGAAGCAGCUUGCUGCUUCGCUGACGAGUGGCGGACGGGUGAGUAAUGUCUGGGAAACUGCCUGAUGGAGGGGGAUAACUACUGGAAACGGUGGCUAAUACCGCAUAACGUCGCAAGACCAAAAGAGGGGGACCUUCGGGCCUCUUGCCAUCAGAUGUGCCCAGAUGGGAUUAGCUUGUUGGUGAGGUAAUGGCUCACCAAGGCGACGAUCCCUAGCUGGUCUGAGAGGAUGACCAGCCACACUGGAACUGAGACACGGUCCAGACUCCUACGGGAGGCAGCAGUGGGGAAUAUUGCACAAUGGGCGCAAGCCUGAUGCAGCCAUGCCGCGUGUAUGAAGAAGGCCUUCGGGUUGUAAAGUACUUUCAGCGGGGAGGAAGGUGUUGCGGUUAAUAACCGCAGCAAUUGACGUUACCCGCAGAAGAAGCACCCGGCUAACUCCGUGCCAGCAGCCGCGGUAAUACGGAGGGUGCAAGCGUUAAUCGGAAUUACUGGGCGUAAAGCGCACGCAGGCGGUCUGUCAAGUCGGAUGUGAAAUCCCCGGGCUCAACCUGGGAACUGCAUUCGAAACUGGCAGGCUUGAGUCUUGUAGAGGGGGUAGAAUUCCAGGUGUAGCGGUGAAAUGCGUAGAGAUCUGGAGGAAUACCGGUGGCGAAGGCGGCCCCCUGGACAAAGACUGACGCUCAGGUGCGAAAGCGUGGGGAGCAAACAGGAUUAGAUACCCUGGUAGUCCACGCCGUAAACGAUGUCUACUUGGAGGUUGUGCCCUUGAGGCGUGGCUUCCGGAGCUAACGCGUUAAGUAGACCGCCUGGGGAGUACGGCCGCAAGGUUAAAACUCAAAUGAAUUGACGGGGGCCCGCACAAGCGGUGGAGCAUGUGGUUUAAUUCGAUGCAACGCGAAGAACCUUACCUGGUCUUGACAUCCACGGAAGUUUUCAGAGAUGAGAAUGUGCCUUCGGGAACCGUGAGACAGGUGCUGCAUGGCUGUCGUCAGCUCGUGUUGUGAAAUGUUGGGUUAAGUCCCGCAACGAGCGCAACCCUUAUCCUUUGUUGCCAGCGGUCCGGCCGGGAACUCAAAGGAGACUGCCAGUGAUAAACUGGAGGAAGGUGGGGAUGACGUCAAGUCAUCAUGGCCCUUACGACCAGGGCUACACACGUGCUACAAUGGCGCAUACAAAGAGAAGCGACCUCGCGAGAGCAAGCGGACCUCAUAAAGUGCGUCGUAGUCCGGAUUGAGUCUGCAACUCGACUCCAUGAAGUCGGAAUCGCUAGUAAUCGUGGAUCAGAAUGCCACGGUGAAUACGUUCCCGGGCCUUGUACACACCGCCCGUCACACCAUGGGAGUGGGUUGCAAAAGAAGUAGGUAGCUUAACCUUCGGGAGGGCGCUUACCACUUUGUGAUUCAUGACUGGGGUGAAGUCGUAACAAGGUAACCGUAGGGGAACCUGCGGUUGGAUCACCUCCUUA